rnacentral:rRNA from 1 species
UACGUAGGCAGCGAGCGUUGUUCGGAAUUACUGGGCGUAAAGAGUGUGUAGGUGGUGUCGUAAGUUUGGUGUGAAAUCUCCCGGCUUAACUGGGAGGGUGCGCCGAAGACUGCGAUGCUGGAGUAUGGGAGAGGAAAGCGGAAUUCCUGGUGUAGCGGUGAAAUGCGCAGAUAUCAGGAGGAACACCGGUGGCGAAGGCGGUUCUCUGGGCAUGAUCUGACGCUGAGGAGCGAAAGUGUGGGGAGCGAACAGG